rnacentral:rRNA from 1 species
GACGUAGGGGGCCAGCGUUGUUCGGAAUUACUGGGUGUAAAGGGUUCGUAGGCGGUGUGGCAAGUCGGGAGUGAAAUCUCUGGGCUCAACCCAGAGUCUGCUUCCGAAACUGCUGUGCUUGAGUGUGGGAGAGGCGCGUGGAAUUGCAGGUGUAGCAGUGAAAUGCGUAGAUAUCUGCAGGAACACCCGUGGCGAAAGCGGCGCGCUGGACCACUACUGACGCUGAGGAACGAAAGCUAGGGGAGCAAACAGG